GUAGUCAUAUGCUUGUCUCAAAGAUUAAGCCAUGCAUGUCUAAGUAUAAAUCGUUUAUACAGGUGAAACUGCGAAUGGCUCAUUAAAUCAGUUAUAGUUUAUUUGAUAGUAAAUUACUACUUGGAUAACCGUGGUAAUUCUAGAGCUAAUACAUGCUAAAAAUCCUGACUUCUGGAAGGGAUGUAUUUAUUAGAUAAAAAACCAAUAGCUCCUUCAGGGGUUUCCCAUUGGUGAAUCAUAAUAACUUUUCGGAUCGCACGGUCUCGUACCGGCGACGUGUACAAGUAGCAGAGCGCACGCGCACGUUUCACGACGUUCAAUAGGGUUCGAUUCCGAAGGGAGCCUGAGAUAAUCUACACAUCCAAGGAAGGCAGCAGGCGCGCAAAUUACCCAAUCCCAACACGGGGAGGUAGUGACAAUAUGUAACAAUAUACGGCCUUAUACGUCGUAUAAUUGGGGGUUUUAAGAACCGGCAACGGAUCUUUUCUUCUAAGAAGUUUGUCAAACUUGGUCAUUUAGAGGAAGUAAAAGUCGUAACAAGGU
rnacentral:rRNA from 1 species